rnacentral:rRNA from 1 species
GCGGCAGGCCUAACACAUGCAAGUCGAACGGUAACAGGAAGAAGCUUGCUUCUUUGCUGACGAGUGGCGGACGGGUGAGUAAUGUCUGGGAAACUGCCUGAUGGAGGGGGAUAACUACUGGAAACGGUAGCUAAUACCGCAUAACGUCGCAAGACCAAAGAGGGGGACCUUCGGGCCUCUUGCCAUCGGAUGUGCCCAGAUGGGAUUAGCUAGUAGGUGGGGUAACGGCUCACCUAGGCGACGAUCCCUAGCUGGUCUGAGAGGAUGACCAGCCACACUGGAACUGAGACACGGUCCAGACUCCUACGGGAGGCAGCAGUGGGGAAUAUUGCACAAUGGGCGCAAGCCUGAUGCAGCCAUGCCGCGUGUAUGAAGAAGGCCUUCGGGUUGUAAAGUACUUUCAGCGGGGAGGAAGGGAGUAAAGUUAAUACCUUUGCUCAUUGACGUUACCCGCAGAAGAAGCACCGGCUAACUCCGUGCCAGCAGCCGCGGUAAUACGGAGGGUGCAAGCGUUAAUCGGAAUUACUGGGCGUAAAGCGCACGCAGGCGGUUUGUUAAGUCAGAUGUGAAAUCCCCGGGCUCAACCUGGGAACUGCAUCUGAUACUGGCAAGCUUGAGUCUCGUAGAGGGGGGUAGAAUUCCAGGUGUAGCGGUGAAAUGCGUAGAGAUCUGGAGGAAUACCGGUGGCGAAGGCGGCCCCCUGGACGAAGACUGACGCUCAGGUGCGAAAGCGUGGGGAGCAAACAGGAUUAGAUACCCUGGUAGUCCACGCCGUAAACGAUGUCGACUUGGAGGUUGUGCCCUUGAGGCGUGGCUUCCGGAGCUAACGCGUUAAGUCGACCGCCUGGGGAGUACGGCCGCAAGGUUAAAACUCAAAUGAAUUGACGGGGGCCCGCACAAGCGGUGGAGCAUGUGGUUUAAUUCGAUGCAACGCGAAGAACCUUACCUGGUCUUGACAUCCACAGAACUUUCCAGAGAUGGAUUGGUGCCUUCGGGAACUGUGAGACAGGUGCUGCAUGGCUGUCGUCAGCUCGUGUUGUGAAAUGUUGGGUUAAGUCCCGCAACGAGCGCAACCCUUAUCCUUUGUUGCCAGCGGUCCGGCCGGGAACUCAAAGGAGACUGCCAGUGAUAAACUGGAGGAAGGUGGGGGUGACGUCAAGUCAUCAUGGCCCUUACGACCAGGGCUACACACGUGCUACAAUGGCGCAUACAAAGAGAAGCGACCUCGCGAGAGCAAGCGGACCUCAUAAAGUGCGUCGUAGUCCGGAUUGGAGUCUGCAACUCGACUCCAUGAAGUCGGAAUCGCUAGUAAUCGUGGAUCAGAAUGCCACGGUGAAUACGUUCCCGGGCCUUGUACACACCGCCCGUCACACCAUGGGAGUGGGUUGCAAAAGAAGUAGGUAGCUUAACCUUCGGGAGGGCGCUUACCACUUUGUGAUUCAUGACUGGGGUGAAGU